CCCAGAUAAGAACUGUGGACAAUUCACAGAAGUUGCCCACCUUCCGUGUUGAGAAAUGACCCCAGAAACCAGAGCUUUCCUCCAUGAGCAAAUGUGUUGUGAAACUUCAAGAAGGAAUUGCAUGUUAAUCAGGCGUGAAAACAGGCUGCAGAAUAUUUAAUGACACGGAAAGAUGUUACUGACAUAUUGUUGCAUGGGGGAAAGGCAGGUUACAAAAUGGUGUGUACACCCUGGUCCCGAAUUUUAUUCAGCCCCCGACCCAGGCAGGCACACAAUCUGGACCGACAUUCUCUGAGACAUUGACCUUGGGUGGGUUCGCAUAGCUUUAUUUUCUAAGUGCUUUUUGUACUUCCUGACAUUUCUGCAGGAAACCUGUGUUCACAAAUCACACCAAAAAAAAAAAAAAAAAAACCCUAUCAAAUGUGUCAAUAACUUAAAUUAGAAAAUCUGCUUAAUAAAAAGGAAUCAGUGCUCAGAAUAGAAAAUUUGAAAAGAUAAAGAAUCUGUCCCCACCCCGAAGCCAGUACAGGAAAAGGCUAUUUUUAAAGCUAAAAAUUGUUUAUUUUUCUUUUCUCACUUCUCUGUUCUCAUUAAUUCUAGAACUGGUAUUUGUGGGAUUUUGUUUCAAUUGUAUGAAUUUUUCUGUCCUAGUUCUUAUUCUUGAUAAAUGUAUGCUUAGUUUUUUUCCCCAUUAUGAUGGAAAAAUAAUUAACUUGAGUAGCUUCUAAUUGGGAGCCAGUUUGCUAAUAACCUUUUCCCGGGGGGUGGCGUUGAACACCCCCCCCCCCCACCAGCUUCGUCCCCGAGCCAGCAGGGUGGGCCGGGGGUUCUGUGGCAGUGCUGACCCUGAGGAAGGUUAACUGCUGUGAGGAACAGAUUGCCCCACUGGAAACAGUCCAGGGUUACACCGGCCUCGGGGAAACUGCGUAUUUCCUCACGUGAAAAAAUGGGGUUUUCAAGAUUGAUGAGAUAUUCAAGGGGCAUGUGUAAACAUCAGCUGUCUUCCUAGGACAGUCACCUUGACCUCCCCACCCAUUUGGGGUCCACUGUGGAGACCGCCUGGAGGAAGCACAAAUGAGAAGAAUAGGGAGGCCGUGCAACCUGGCCUGUUCUAAAGGUAAGUAGGAGCAGGACCCACAUGGCAGCUACGACAUCUUCCUGGAGGUCCCAUGGAUGCCCUCCAACCAAGCUCAGGAAGGUCGGCUAUGGGUCAGGCCCAGAGCAAGCAGACAUUGUCCCACUGAAUCCUGCCAUUGCCUUCCCAGAACGAAGGUAUCUGCCCAAGCUUGUGAACGAGGAUGGCAGAGGCAGGGCUCUAAACCUGGCUGCCCUCUCCUUUCUACUACAAGCUCACCUUUCCCUCCUUGGCCAUCUCAGGAUAAAGGCUGGAGCCCACGCAGGUUUUCCCAUCAGGCUUUUAUUAUAAAGAAGGUUCCAGAGCUUCCCAGCCACCCCCUCCAGCCCAGCCCCCACGGGCUCGGAGCCAGUCCCAGUGCUGGCUGGGUCUGCUGCAGGGGGAGCCGGGUCAGCCACGGAGGGUUGCUUCUGACAGGAACAGAAUGGGUGAUUUUUUUUUCAGGCCUUUGGGGGGGGGGGGGUCUCUGCCAGGUCUGCCUGUUCUCUGGAACAGUCAUUUCCAGUGUUAUGUUGGGAGCCCCUAGGGACCCCUCCCCGGGUCCUCUGCACAAGCGGCAGCUAUUCACAGUUGGCGCGUGAGAAGUUUUUUAAUAUAUAAAAGCUUAAAAAAAAAAAAAAGUGGUGCUAUCUUUAGAAACACUUCCAGCAA